rnacentral:rRNA from 1 species
GAUGAACGCUGGCGGCGUGCCUAAUACAUGCAAGUCGAGCGAACAGACGAGGAGCUUGCUCCUCUGACGUUAGCGGCGGACGGGUGAGUAACACGUGGAUAACCUACCUAUAAGACUGGGAUAACUUCGGGAAACCGGAGCUAAUACCGGAUAAUAUAUUGAACCGCAUGGUUCAAUAGUGAAAGACGGUUUUGCUGUCACUUAUAGAUGUAUCCGCGCCGCAUUAGCUAGUUGGUAAGGUAACGGCUUACCAAGGCAACGAUGCGUAGCCGACCUGAGAGGGUGAUCGGCCACACUGGAACUGAGACACGGUCCAGACUCCUACGGGAGGCAGCAGUAGGGAAUCUUCCGCAAUGGGCGAAAGCCUGACGGAGCAACGCCGCGUGAGUGAUGAAGGUCUUCGGAUCGUAAAACUCUGUUAUUAGGGAAGAAAAAAUGUGUAAGUAACUAUGCACGUCUUGACGGUACCUAAUCAGAAAGCCACGGCUAACUACGUG